UACGAAGGGGGCUAGCGUUGUUCGGAAUCACUGGGCGUAAAGCGUGCGCAGGCGGUUCUCCAAGUCCGUUGUGAAAGCCCCGGGCUCAACCUGGGAAUGGCAGUGGAAACUAGGGGACUGGAAUCUGGCAGAGGGGGGUGGAAUGCCGCGUGUAGCAGUGAAAUGCGUAGAGAUGCGGCGGAACACCGAUGGCGAAGGCAGCCCCCUGGGCUGAGAUUGACGCUCAGGCACGAAAGCGUGGGGAGCAAACAGG
rnacentral:rRNA from 1 species